rnacentral:lncRNA from 1 species
ACCAGGGCCUAGUCAAAAUAUAUAACAGGAGUCUUAACAAAAUUACAACGGAUGGUUUCUCCAUAUUUCUCCAAGAGUCGGUCCUGUUAAGGAAAACAAAACUAUAGGGUGAGCGAAACGCUCGUGAGGCCAAGAACACACAUGCAAGCACUUAGUCAAAUAACAAACCCAAUUUAAUAAAUAAAACCAUGUCUUUUCAUUAAUCAAUUAUUCAAACAGGAAAAGUAAUCAGAAACAAUUCAAGGAUAUAGUAGCUCUCAGGAGCUAAGUUCCACUUGAUCUGCCGUUGUCAUUCGUAUACCUUCCCGCAUUGACCCUCCUGUCAAUCGGGUCGGUAUUUCCAUUUCCGUAGAUCACCACUUACUUUCCUCCGUCCACCGUACACCCCAAGGGCCCACAAGUCUAUUAUUGGGCGAUACUCUACGAGUAUGCCAAGCAAGACCUCUUAUUAGGUCGAGCUUAUGUGUAUCUCAUGGCUCGUCCAAAUCCCCGACCAAGCCCAUUGCUGGCUCGAGUCUAAGGACGGCCUAUGAGUUUGGGCGUCCCCCAUUCAUUUGAAAGUCGAGGAGGUUCACUCCAACGACACAAGCAUUCAUGACAUAACAUUGCAUUUCAUUCAUUCAUUCAAUACAUUUCAUUCAUUCAUUUGAAAUUAGAACGAGUGCGAUAAAGUACGCACCCGCCCUUAUUUUUAAAACUUUCAACAAAUACCACAAUAAGCAAGUAUCAAAAUUCACACACUUGACACUCACCGAGCAAUUCAAUAAGAAUUAUUUUCCGGAAGUUCAAGUGUCCACGGUGAGAUCCUCUUGAAGGUCUCCUUGCGCGCCUGGCAAUUUAAUAGUGGAUAAUCACACAAUUAACCCACUUAUCAAGAAAGAUUGUACACUAGUACAAUCUAAGAAUUAUUUUGCAAAAAGGAACCUCAAUUACACGUAAAUCGAGGUUCGACUUGCCUUUUUAUUAGGUACAAUAUUAUUUGAGUUUUUUUUAUCAUGAAAAUCGUAAGCAAAACGUUUUAAGAAUAUCGAAAGAAUAAAGAGUUCUUGAAAAACUCUAUUUCUUUGAAGUUGGAAAAUUUUUCAGUUUUACGUUAAAUCUUUGAAAAAUCAUAACUCGCUCGGUAUAAGUCGAGAAUUGGAAAAAUUUAUACCGUUGGAAACCUCUUAGAGAGUACUAUAAGUUCCUAGAAGACACUUUUCCAUGAAUCGAAGUGAAAAGUGGUCAAAAAUGAGCUUGAAGACGCAGGGUUGGUUUUCAUGGCAGAAUUAAGUUGGAUUUCGGCCAACUUUGGAAAUUCGGCACGAUUCACACGUUGCAAACCGGCCUCUGAAAUUUUCAGCUCAAUUAGUGUUGCAAGUUAAGUGUAUGACAAAACAAGCGGAUCAAGAAUCGGAGUUUCGAGCACCGAGAUACGGUAGCCCGAAGUUGAGCAAAUUCAAGACUGGAUGAGAAUUUUCCAGAUUUGAACCUCUAACUUUAGUAAUUCAAUUGGGUAUCGAAACGAACUUGAAUUGGCACAAAAAUUGGCAGUAUUUCAAUACUAUAUGGAAAGUAUCUCUCUAUCGAAUUUCGGGGAAAAAUACCUUCGGCAAGGUAGUUAAUUAGCCCACCAAAGUUCAAGAAAAAUCCUAAGGCAAUCUGCCUUUGACUUGCAUUUCCCAAUUUCCAAUCGUCUAACCAAGAAAGUUAUCCAACCAUGGUUCAUUUGUGAAAUAAGGGUCUAAGAUACAUCCAUGAUAUCUUUGGUAAGUGUUUAAUAUCAAGAACAUCAACUAACAAGUUCACUCCAAGAUUUUGUUCCAAACCAGUCCAAAGAUUAGGGUUUUCCAAAACAGAGCAGUCCACUUGCUUCAGUCACAACUCAGUCAUUAUAGCUCGAAUCGAGCAUGGCUUACGCCGUUGGAAAAUGCGUUCAUAGAGUUAAAAUAUCACAGAAGAAAUCGUUUCCAAAUUCGGCACCCAUCUGGUUCAAAUUCUGGCAUCAAGUUGCUGCCUGAACACUUCAUUCCAGAAGAACAGAGUAACAGGACAGCGAACUUAAAACAUUUGGUUCGGCUUGCUCACAAAGAAUCAGAACGUGCAUUAUAUACCAAAUUAAAGCUAGGAAUGUCUAGUUUCAAACGCCACCGACGGCACAUGAUUUUGACAUCCAAGGACAGAGUUAUAGCCAAAAUACUACUGCUGGUCAGAGCAUACGCGAAUCAGUUUUCCAGAUUUGCUGGUUUCUAAAAAAAAUUCAUUUGCCCAUUCAAACCUCAUUAUUUUUCAAUGAAAUUUUUCACACAUCUAAUACAUCCUACAAACAUCCAAUUCAAGCCAUUAAACCAUUAAAAAUUGGCCUGGAAAUGGCCGAACAUGGCAGGGGCAAAAUCGGAAAUUUUAGCUUCUUACACCCAAUGAAGUUCCUACCAAUUACCCACCACUAAUGCAUCAUUAAUAUCACUAAACCAACAAUAUAAUCACCAUCAAUCAUCACAUCAGCAACAACAACCCAAGUGUGGGAAUUCCAAGAGCCCACAAUCACAUUUUUACACCAUAAUCAAGUAACUAAGUGCAUGCAUGAGCUUAAUCUUGUCAUAUAAUCUCCAAAAGAUAAGAAUCCAAGGGUUGAUCAUUACCUACUCCUUUGGUUUGCAAGGUCAGAAUUUUCGGCCCUCUUGAAGCUCCAAGAAACCGUGAAAGCUCCCCUCCUCCUUAGCUAGAUAUAAUCUCCAAGAGGUUUGCUAAGUGGUCUCCAAGUUUGGUGUGAUUUGGAGGUGAUUUGGGGUGGUUUUGGGGAAGAUUAGUGUGCAGAAUUUUUUUGAACAAGGAGUUAGAGAGAGAGGGUGUCUUGGCCGGCCAUGAGGAGAGAGAAGAGAG